rnacentral:lncRNA from 12 species
AUGGGACUCGAUCCCAGGUCUCCAAAGGUGACCAGGGCCAAAGGUGGCGCUAAGCUGCUGAGCCAGCUGGGCUGCCCUUCAGUUAAUAUUUUUAACAGAAGGAACAUCCAGCUAAUAGUCCCCAGUGAGGAUGAAGAACUGCCAAGAUCAGCCCGCACACCUCAGCCCACUGCAUCUUCUAUGGGUUUAGAGUCAUCAAGGAGGCCUCAAAACACAAAGGGGAAUGUUCCAGGCCUAGAAUGCUGAUUGCACAAUCCUGGAGAGGGACAGCAAGUCUUCUGACAGCUGCUUCCCCAACAGUUGUCCUAAUAAAUUACUGCAAACUUUGUAACUGAAAACA